GGUUUGUGUAGACGCGUACGGAGCCAGCCCCAUACCAUACGCCUCGCGUCGGCAGUCGCGUACAGAGAGGCGGUAGCGGCAGAGCGCCGCCGGACGCCGCAGGCCACGCAGCGAUGACGGUGACUACGCGCGGCCCGCGAGCGACCCCGCACGCCGUCGGCUGGUCCGGAGCUCGGUAAUUUGGCGACCUUUCCAAUCUUGAAUCUUUGCUUUCGUAUGCGCGCCCAUAGAUUACAGAAGGCUACGAUUGUGGUAGCGCCUUUGUCUUGCUUUUCUAAUUUUGUUUACAAACUGCAACAAAUAGUCAAUUAUGUAUAAAUUUAUAGCAAAUAAAAUAAAUCACUAUGUCUUGGCAAAAGCGUGGGGCAAUUUCUAGGUUAUAACUUCUAACUAGGGUUUCAUUUGUCUGUAUACAAGUCUGAAUGUCUCAUUUGUAUUUUUCAAAUACAAAUACUAUGGUCAAGUUUUUUCUCAAAUGAAAAGCACCAUCAUAGGAUGUUCCGGAAGACAUAAUUGGGAAGGGGACAUUCAAUAUGAUCCGAGCAAGAAAAAUUGAUAGAACAUUAUCAUCCUAAUUUGAAAGAUCUGGUAAGAAGAACAUAUUUGUUGAAUGGACUUUGUCAGCCAAGAUAUUUUGUUUUUGAGUCCUCGGAUUUUUGGGGUAAAUAGAGAAAGUUCAAUGCUAAAUGGUUUGAUGAAUUUGGGAGCUGGCUUGAAUACAACGAAGAGAAGAACAUGGCAUAUUGUUUUGGAAUAGAACGUACUAAAGAUAAUUUUUAAGCUUUUAGCCAUUUAAAUACUUUUUCUUCAGAAUUUUUAUUAUGUUAUACUGAAAAGUUUAAUCAUAUUUUUACCUUGUAGGUUAUUGAACCUUGUUGUCAGAUGAUGUAUUUUGAAAUUUGGAGAUGCAAGACAUCUAUUUCAAGUAAUUUUCUCCCUUAUUUUAUCAUUACAACAAGCAUUUUUAUGGCUACGUUAUGUUUUUUACACGCUGCCUUCGAUGACAUCUGAUAAUGUGUGCUGAAAUCUAUGAAACACACAUUUAUUCAAUGCAUCGUUGCUUGAAUAUUUUACUCCUUGUUAAAGUGGUGCAUCGGGUAACAUUUGCUCCAGCUCCGCCCCUGUAACAAUAUAGUCUAACAAUUAGUUUCUUCACUUGGGUUGUCUGCCCGACAGUUUCAAGGAAAAUGGGUCCAUUGAAGAACCUUGUCUAUACACAGAUAUGUGAACAAAGAAGAUCAGUCCCGAAGAAGAUCACCACUUCUUUGCUGCCAAAUGAAGACAGGUUAUUGGAAGGCCAGGCUGUGCUGAAUAUUGGGCUCGGAAGGGGGCAAUGUCUCAACACCAUUUGUGAAAUUAGACCAAUAUGAACACAAUCAAUCCUAAGAAAUCUAAUACUCCUAUGAGACAAAUGAC
rnacentral:lncRNA from 1 species